rnacentral:lncRNA from 1 species
GGACUUCCCAGGAAAACGACAGUGUCCGGAAGCCUCUGCAAUGCCCUCUUAGGAUUGUCCAAGAAGAUGGCGAAACAUUUGCAGGCAGCGAUAGGAGUUGAGGGAAUGUGCGGGCUGAAACUAAGUAGAGACGGGGUUUCGCCAUGUUGGCCAGUCUGGUCUGGAACUCCUGACCUCAAGUGAUCCGCCCUCCUCGGCCUCCCAAAGUGCUGAGAUUACAGAAGCUGGAGCGCAAUAGUGCAAUCUCAGCUCACUGCAACCUCCACCUCCGGGUUUCAAGCUAUUCUUCUCCCUUAGCCUCCCAAGUAGCUGGGAUUACGGGCGCCUGCCACCACACCCAGGUAAUUUUUGUAUUUUUAGUAGAGACGGGUUUUCACCAUGUUGGUCAGGCUGGUCUCGAACUCCUGACCUUCAGAUGAUCCACCCGCCUCUGCCUUCCAAAGUACUGGGAUUAACAGGCGUGAGCCUCCACACCCAGCAACUAUUGCAUUUUAUUUUACUGUAUGUAUGUAAUACCUUAACCACACACAAAAAAUUACCUUGUUCAAAUUUUCCAGAAUUAGAAUUCUACCAGUUCCCCAAAGUCUUGCUGUUUCUCCAUGCCCCUUAGCCCUUACCAGCUGCUAGAGCUGUCUUUUCAUCCUUUGCACCCUGGCACACUCCUACUCAUCCCUCAGAACCCAAAUGUCACCUCUUAUCUCUAAAAUGUUCCUUGACAUCCUUCUGCCAAAUACUAGCCCCUUCCUCUCUGUUUACAAUGCAGAUUCGGUCCUAGUGAAUUACUGUUAUUUUCUACUCUGCCUCACUCAUGAAGGCACAAGACUUGAUUUACAUACGCUGUCCUCUUCAGGCCCUGCCACAGGGCCACAGAAGGACCUCACACAUUUCAUGUCAAUUGAGGUCACUGGACUGACCUGGGAAUGAGGAGCCUGGGUUGUUACUCCACUUUUGCACAUAGAUGUGUGACCUUGAUUAUUUUCCACCACGUCCUGGCCUCGGUUUCCUUAUCUGUUAAAAGGGAAUGACACCACAGGCCUUGCAAAAUUGAAGGGAUUAUUUCUUUGAAGACCAACAGGCGAUAGGGGGCAGUAGUGUCCCAGGAUCCAGUUUCCCGCUUCAGGUUUCAAGAAACAGGAGCAGCUGCAGUGAUGAAGUUUUCCCGACUAUGACA